CAUUCUCGGGGAAGCCAGUUGUCAAGUUGUGAGGACACUCACGCGAGCGUGGGUGGGUCGGUGUGGUGAGGAACUAACGGAUCCUGCGCAGAGCCAGUCAGUCUGCCAGCAGCCAUGUGCGCGAGCCGUGGCGGAAAUGAAUCGUCUACCACCGGGUUAGCUUCCAGAUGACUGGCGCCCAGACCAGUAUCCUGACAGCAACUUCAUGAACGACCUCAAGCCAGAACUUACCAGCUAAGUCACUCCCAAAUUCAUGAGCCACAUGAGAUUAAAACAUGAUCCCCCAUGGCUGAAGCCUGCAACUGAAUAGAAUGUUCUGAGGCUGCCACGGAGCCGUGGAGCAAUGCUUGAGUGACUUGGGAACAGAGUCAACACCUGAAGAAUAAAUUUUCUCCUUGAUCUUU